GCUCGAACCAGUAACGUAUAGAUUACAUGAAGACAACAUUAUUGUUGCUUCAAGGCUCCCCCUUAACGGAAAGAAUGAGGGUAGCUUCUCAACUCUCGUUUUAUAUAGUCUAUAAACAUACUCUCCGAUAUUCUUGUAUAUAUAAUCGAGAAAUUCACGAGGGUCAAUGAGGCUUACUAGUGUGACACUCGAUGAAUAAUGGACCCGACCCUCUACGACUUGUUGUAGUCUUGUUGUUUUUGAUGUUGAUUUACUAAAAUCUUGGCAUAUAGCAACUCAUUCCAAGCAUCAGGUACACCAGGGAGACACCAAUGACUACAAUCUUGAAACAACAAUGGAGAUUUCUUCUCUUCAGUUGUAAAUUUUUGUUUCCUAUAUACUGAUGGAUGACCAUCUUUUCGAAAAUCUGUCAUUCUUGUGAUGUUGAGAUAUGAGACUUGAGUUUUCAUCCCUUUUAGAACUCUUUCUAAAACAUUCAUCUUUGAUGGAUAUGGAGUUAGAUAUGUUGUGUUCUUGAUUGGUUCUGUUUCAUGGUCACAAGCUCCACCUGAAUUCCAUUGUCCGCCGCUAAAAUGAGACGCAGAGUAACCUCUGAAGAGAACAAAUGUUCUCUUAGGAUUUACAUGGGAAUCAACCCAUCUUCCCCAUGUUGUUAAAGCCUUUCGAAAUGCCUCAAGAACAUCUAAUUCGUUGUACACGUGACUUCCUUCUUGAUAAUAGUCCUUCCCCAAUGAAGUUUUCUCGUGUGUCCACCAGUGGCCGGUGUUGAAGAUUAAGAUAUCAGCAUUUUUAUAUUUAUCAGCAGACUGUCCGAUUAAAUCAAGUCGAAGUGUUUCCUUCUUCACUCCUUUUUUAUCUGAAUAUUCCCAUUCUUGAACCAAGAAUGGAGAUACAAAAAACUCCACUCUGAAAUUAUACUCCUCAAAUAGAAAUGAAUAUGAAGCCUCAGUCCUAAAAUGUUGUCUGCCAGAUUCUUCAUAAACCUUUUUCUGAUCUUUAACAGAGUUUCUAAGAAUGCAAACAAGGGAUUCCCACAUGUUUCUGUUGAGCGAAUCACCGACAAAUACCAAUCGCUUUCCUCUCAAUAAUUCCAGCAUAUGAGUUCCAUUCAAUCUUGGAAGAGUACAACCAUUUGGCUUCCAUUUCAUCUUCAUAUGAUUGUUAUCAGGUCUACCAUUGAGAAAACAGUUAAAUUGUUCAUCAAUCAAAGAACAAGAACCAGGCUUAUACAAAGGAUAAGACUCAUCUUUCACCCAAUUCCCAUCAAAGAAAUCACAAUUCAACAAAGACUUAACCAAAUCUUCAUCCUUCUUCUUCUUUGUAGACACAUCUAGAUUUGUACCAUCACUCUGGCUUUUCACAGAUGAGGAAGUGAAAUUACCCUUCACUCCCUUUUCUGCAAUUUCCUUCUCUUUACUCUCACUACCAGAUUUUGCUGUCUGAUUCACACUUGCUGAUGACUUCUCCAAUGGAUUUUUGCUCUGAUUUGCCUUCAAAUUUCCAACUUUAUCAUCAAAAUCUUUACUUUUAGGCUGAUUCUUUACACUUGAUGAUUCUUGAUUCAACCCAGAAGAGGAUUUUGGUGCUACUGCUGACACAUUCACAGUAGGCUUCGAGGGGCUUUUCAAGACUCCAUUUUUAUCAUCAAAAUCCUUACUUUUUGACUGAUUCUUCACACUAGAUGAUUCUUGAUUCAACCCAGAUGGAGAUAUUGAUCCUACUGCUGACACAUUCACAGAUGGCUUCAAGGGGUUCUC
rnacentral:misc_RNA from 1 species